rnacentral:rRNA from 1 species
UACGUAGGAUGCAAGCGUUGUCCGGAAUUAUUGGGCGUAAAGAGCGCGCAGGCGGUAUGACAAGUCAGAUGUGAAAGAGGCCGGCUUAACCGGCAAGGGUCAUUUGAAACUGUCAGACUAGAGUGCAGCAGAGGAUAGUGGAAUUCCCGGUGUAGUGGUGAAAUUCGUAGAUAUUGGGAAGAACACCGGUGGCGAAGGCGGCGACCUGGUCCGAUACUGACGCUGAGGCGCGAAAGCGUGGGGAGCAAACAGG